AACUGCUUGGGAGGUCUAGAAACCAUUUGACGGGGCAGAGACUGCCUGGGAGACUAGAAAACAAAGCUGUCGCAGAGGAAGGGAACAAUACUCGAGGGGCGGGGAAGUGGAAAGCCACAUCAGAGGGAACCUGGGAGAAGAGCCUGGGCUGCGGCCGUGCUGGGGAGGGGAGAGAAGAAGAGGUGGGUCCCCAUAGAAUACCCCCCACGCCACAGCAAGCUUACAGGCCCGCUAGCUAGCAGAAAGCUGUGCUUCCCAGUGCAUUCCCUCCUCCCACCCUCGCCACCCCCAACGCUCUCGCCGAACCUGGGGCUGCCUGCCAUCCAGGAGGGCUGGCCUCAACAAUUGCUUGAAGCCUACCACCGCAGGGGCUGUCCCUGCACAGGCCUGAAUGCCCUUUGGAGGGGCUACACUUCUGCAGAGCAGCACCAAACACCAUCAGCCCCCGAGAAAAGGCAUGCAGCCCAGAAAAGCUAGAACAAGCCUAGCCAGGCAGUGAAUAGAUCUGCCUAAUUCUUGGACGUUUUUCUGAGUCAGCCUGCCCCAGGGAGGAGCCUCUUCGGUUUCCAACGGCCCUGCUACCUGCCCAAGCCCCCAGGGGGUGCCCUAGUGGAUCAUCUGCAUAGGACUGCCAGCUCCAGGCAGGACCCCCUGCAGCCCAGAAAAGCUGCAACAAGCUCGGUCGAGCUGGGAAAAGAUCUCAGAUGGUCUUUCUGAGUCGGGAUGCCCUGGGGAGGAGCCUCUUGGGUUUCCAGUGGCCCUGCUACUACCUGCCCAAUCCCCCAAGGGGUGCCCCACUCCCACGGAAGAGCUGCUCAGCACCACCAGCACCCUGGAAGAGCCCCUGCAGCCCAGAAAAGCUGCAACAAGCUCGGCCAGAUUGUGAAAAGAUCCGCCUACAUUCUCAGGCUGUCCUUCUGAGUUUGGCUACCCUAGGGAAGAGCCUCUUAGGUUCUCAGUGACCCAGAUAGCUGCUCCAGCCCCCAGGGGGUGAUGCACCCCUGAAGAGCAGCUGCCCAACACCGCCAACCCCCUGCAAGAACCCCACAGCCUAAAAACACCAGAGCAAGCUCUGCAUGACCAAGUGAAAUCUGCUACCAUCGUGGUGUGGACCUCCCAGUCCUGUCUGCCCUCAGGAAGUCCUCCUUUGCUUCAAAGAAACACUGUUAGCCCCAUCAACACUCCAGAAAAGCCACACUGCCUCAAAAAAGAUUG
rnacentral:lncRNA from 1 species